rnacentral:tRNA from 1 species
AGCGGGGUGGGGUAGCCAGGAAAUCCCGACGGGCUCAUAACCCGUAGAUCAGUGGUUCAAAUCCACUCCCCGCUACCA